rnacentral:lncRNA from 1 species
CCGCAGACGCAGCCCGCGCCGCGCCCGCCUCCGGCCCUCAGAAGACCGCUCGCCUCGCCGCCGAAGCCGCGCCUGCCCCAGGCCUGCCCCGCCGGGCCGUGGUUAAACCAGGCGGGCUGCACGCGCAGUGCGGGGCGCCCCGUUUCCCAACGACCAGGCUAGAACGCCGCCCGGAACGCAGCCUCAGGCGGCUCCGGAGGCAGCCCGGGGUCCUGAUAAACGCGAGCGCAGCCCGGCAGUGGCGCGGGCAGCACGUCGGGGUCCUGAGUCGGAAUCGGCGCGCUGCCUGGCGCCGCUCGCCCUUCGGUGUAAUGGGUGCGCCACCCUGAGUUGUUUCUUCGCUGCUGGAGAGGGAGAACCGGCUCCUGGGCCACCCAGACUGUGUGCCAUCCCGAAGCCAGCAGAGCUGGGGCCAUACUCCUUGACUGGUAGGGGCUGAGGGUGAAUACGGCGGCCAAGUCCAGAAAGCCUAGCUCUGCCUACUGUUAAUGGAGAUUUUCCUCUGGAAUACAGGCAGAAUGCCUAUACCAUUUUGACGGAUAACGCGAAAGCCUGCCUAGCACUGGGAUUAAAGAUGUGAGCCACCCUGCCAGGCUCCUGAUUGUAA